CUCACUGAAGUAGAACGUCUGCUCUGCUGUGUAAUACACUGCCCUAGAUGUGGAAGACACAAAUCCCUGCCUGGCAAACUCAAGAGGAGACAGGCCACAGACUCUUUUGCUUCCAGCUCUUUUGCAAUGUGAGAAAGAACUCACUUUCCCCGGGGCUGUUACAGUCUAGGGGGAACCUCUGAUACAAAGACCUGACACGCAGUAUGUUUCCAGCCCAGAUCUCGCCCCAUUGGAACUUCUGCUCUAAGCCGUGUUCUACAUGGUUCUAGAGAUGGAGGUCUCAAAGAGCUGGGUCAUAGCCUCCAAAGGAGACAAGCCACAAACGGUUGUGCUUCCAGGCAUUUGGGAAGCAAAGAAACAACUGGCUCUCCACGGUGCUCUUAGAGCCUGCUGGGAACAUCUCUUACAAAGGCCUUUGAAACGCAGUUUCUUUCCAGCCCUGAUCUCGCUGAAGUAGAACUUCUGCUCUGCCUUGUUAUACAUUGCCCUAGUGGUGGAAGUCACAAAGACCUCUCUGGGUUCCUUAAGAGGAGACAGGCUACAGACCGUCUUGCGUCCACCUCUUUCCCAAGGUGAGAAAGAAGUCGCUUUCCCCUGGGCUCUUACAGCCUACCGGGAACCUCUGAUACAAACACCUGAAACGCAGUUGGUUUCCUGCCCAUAUCUCGCCACUUUGGAAGUUCUGCUCUAAGCCAUGUCCUACAUUGCUCUAAAGGUGGAAGUGACAAAGUGCUGAGUCAUUGCCUCCAAAGCAGACAAGCCACGAACGGUCUUGCGUACAUCUCCUUGGGAAGCUAAGAAACAACUCGCUCUCCACAGUCCUCUUUCAGCCUAG
rnacentral:lncRNA from 1 species